rnacentral:tRNA from 1 species
GAGCGCGAUGAUCGCGCGCGACGGCUUCUCCUGGGGCGAGGAGCAGUAACGCCCGCUCGGGCUCGGGCCGCGCUCA